rnacentral:lncRNA from 1 species
CAGCACCAGAUGUUUUACAUAGGUUUCUCUUUUCAUUUUAAUCUUCAAACUACUGGAGGUCUGAAUAGCUAUCUCCACUUUGCAGAGGCAGUGAAAGCCCCACAAGGGGACAAUGGCAUGCAAGGGGCCACGUGGCUUCUCCUCAGCAUCCUAGCUCCAACCACCAUGGCUCCAGAUCUAGCUCUUCCUUCCCCAGGCAGUCUCUUGGGGUGCGGCAGCCCUCCCUCAGAGUCAGAGAGAAGAGCUUUAUUGUUACCACAACACUGGGGUCAUGGCCCACGGUGACGCAGAGCGAAACCAAGGACAGUGGAUGCAAGAUCCAGGCAAAUUUAUUUAAAAGAUGUAAAGGCAAGAAGCUUAUUUGACAAAUGAGGAAACUGAAGUCCAAAUAAACAGUCAUCACUGGCCCGUGGUGAUCCGAGACUAUACUCCCUGCACUGAGGGAGGCUGAGGAAGGAGGAUGGUUAGGACAGUGGUGUGCCAGCAAGGCUCUGAAGCAGCUUUCCCGGACCAAGGACUGAGAAAGACAGGGCAAUGAGACGGAGGGAGCCUUGGUAUCCAAAACCAUCAAACUGUCCAGGAGCCCUGAACAGCUUCAGUUACUGCUGUUUCCCGAGGGAGGAAGGCUCUACUGUUGUGCGGAAGCCAGAGUGAUCAUGUCUUUUGUACCACUUCACUUUGCACUGUUGCUAAACAUUCUUUAAGGCCCACCUGAAGGCCACCUACUCCCUGAAGUCUCGCCUGAUUACAUCCAUGAUCUCUGCC